UUGCCCGAAAUGCUUGAGUACUGGUUAUCUGAGAUGUGGCUUUUGGGCCUUAUUUGUGCCAUGUCACGGUGCUCUAUACAGGCUGGCUCGUUCAUGGGCGUGGCACGUGAGUGUUGCGUUCCUCUGAUGGGUCAGUGCUGGGUGAACCUAUCGAAGCAUCACACGGUAAUUGCCCACCACAGCUCGUUGCUUGGUCACCCGCUGAGUCUAAACGUGCAGGAUGCUCAUCCAGUUUCCGGACUGUCAAUGUUGACGCGUGUAUGAGCGAUGGUACCGUACGGAGGGCUUUUCCGUACGCGUACGCGCUCGCGUUACGUCCGUGAUUUAACCUGGCUCUGACUGCCGACUUGUAGACGUGGUGUGAUCCAUUCGGCGACGAAGCUGGAAUUGGCCAGACGCAUACAACCCCAGCACUGCGGCCAUGUGUCGGUCGCAGUGUACCUGCGGGCAGGCUGCCUGCGUCGCAUGUCUGAUGCAUACGCUCAGCCUGGGAGUUGGUCUGAUUGGUGAUGAUCUAGCGACCAUCGGUCACGUCUCGAAACACGGGCCAAGGAGUAUAGCAUGUGUGCAAGUCU
rnacentral:rRNA from 1 species